GACGAACGCUGGCGGCGCGCCUAACACAUGCAAGUCGAACGAGGUUGAGAGGAGCUUGCUUUUCUUGACUUAGUGGCGAACGGGUGAGUAACGCGUGAGGAACCUGCCUCAAAGAGGGGGACAACAGUUGGAAACGACUGCUAAUACCGCAUGAUACUUUUUGGGGGCAUCCCUAAAAAGUCAAAGCUUUAUGUGCUGAAAGAUGGUCUCGCGUCUGAUUGGCUAGUUGGUGAGGUAAUGGCUCACCAAGGCGACGAUCGGUAGCCGGACUGAGAGGUUGAUCGGCCACAUUGGGACUGAGACACGGCCCAG
rnacentral:rRNA from 1 species